UCUAUCAAAGUAUCAUUGAAAUUUUUUUCAAUAAAUCGGAAUAAUUUCACUCUAACUCAUCAAGGAUUAUCAAUCCAGAACAACCCUAGUGAACUCUCACAAUCCACCAGUGACACCUAGCAAUAUGUAGUGGCAAUCCAAUAGAACUGAAAUAAAUCUCUAGGUGUAGUUAAUGUGUGAUUCAGUCCCUCUAUCGUGAGUCUCAACUAGAUGGC
rnacentral:lncRNA from 1 species